UCUUGUUUCCUUUCGUUUCUGUGUAUCAGUUCGGUUCUGGUAUUUUGGUUAUCGGGUAGGUUCGGAUAGGGGUUAGAAGAUCCAUCUAGUAUCUUACCAAUUUUCGGUUCGGCUCGGUUCAGAUAGUUUGGGUUAGGGUCGUAAACUAUCUUUAUAUAUAAAGAAGACCCCUACUCUCUCCUGGUGAUGCCACAUCAGAUUCCAUGUCACAAACUCGAGUCUCCAGAAGCCGACACCUGUCCGCUAUAUUAAAACUCAUAGUUUCAUUAAACAAAAAGAAGAUGGGCUUCUGUUGAGUUAUUGGCCCGUAAAGUGUCUCCUCUUAGUAGUUGUGAAGCUGAAACUCAUGUCUAGGAUUCAUCGCCUACUGCAAAACCCAAUUAAGUUUUCCAUCAAUGGAGGUCAUGAGCCAUUAAUGGAGGUUCAUCGCCUUCGUCAGUAAUCGUUGCGUCUAUGUCGUUUCGCGUCGUUUCGUUAUCUAUUCUUCUCCUCACAUGAGUUACAACUUGCAUUGAUUCAACGUCAUUAACGAGAUAUUAACUCUUCCCACCAUCCGCAACCACGAUCAUUCAUUCAAUGAUUCAUAUCCCUCUUCCGAUUGGGGGAUCUCAACCUAUAAAAGAUUAGAAAUCCGGCAAUUGUUUCUUCCAACGUGGAGGUGAGGUUGCUCAGAAUAGGAAAGCUAGGAACUUCAGCAUUACUCGCCUCAACAGCUUAAACAAGAGAUCCCGUGAUGUGAUCGCUUUAAGUUUGUAUGUUUACUAUUCUUUGAGAUAUGAGAUGACUGUAUUCAAGCUAUCCUUGCACCAUUCUGCAACACUUUGUUAUGAUGCGGUUUGGUCAGAGAAAUCGAGAUCAAAACUACCAAGUUCGAAGCACAUUCUAACCAACAGGUUUAUCUUUUAGUAGUUAAUCUUUCAUACCAAUUAGUUAUUGUAGCUUUCUAGACUGUAGUUAUAUCAUUUCUCUGAUCUCUCACUUAUGCUAACCUUUUCACAGUCAAUUGGAUAAGAUCUUUUUCUCUUAUCGCGUACUUGCUGUUUUUGUAUCUUGACACUCAACUAUUUAUCUAAUAUGAUAUCUACAUACAUAUUGGACUCAUGCCACAUAUAUAUGUAUAUGUAUGUGUGUAUAUUUAUAUUUAAAACGUAACAAGGUCGAUUGAAUACUGAUAAAAAAGGUUAGAUGUGAGAAAAUAGAUGGAAAUGGCAGAUGAAGAGAAGCCAAGAGUGAUAAGAGGAAGAGAUAAGAAAUUCACGAAUGUGUUUAAUUUAAUACCUGCUAUGUUUUCAGUUUUCAUCAGAAGAGUAGUCUAAAAAGCAAUGAGGAACAUUCUUUUCCGACAAAAAAGCUUAGAAAUGAAGAAAACAGUUCAGUCUUCGUCACGAGGCCGUGUUUAAAUUUUGCAGCCAUGGCCUGAUUUUAUUUGUUUUAGUUGUAAAACUUUCUGUGGUAGUUUGUUUAAAAAGUUUGUCAUUUAGUUUGUUCUCCAUGUGUAAAUGAUUUCCCAUAAGUUGGUUUGGUGGACAACACCACUUUGUCCUUUUGGUCAAUUUUGAUUAAAUUUACUUUCUAUUUAA